AAGAACAUGUAUUGAAUGUUCCCUCUCCCCAAACACCUCUUCCAGCUCCUCUGGUGGAAGCCCGAGGCGUUUCUAGGCUUGGGCUUACACUGAUGAUCAAUGAUAACAUCAGCAUAACCCCCGCAGAUGACCACCCAACCAAUGUGUUUCUGUCUGGUUCUAUAAAAAUUAAGAGUCAAAGCCCAGGACUACUGCAUCUCAGACUUGUACUGCCGAAUUAUUCAGCUUGAUGAGUACCAGUGCUACUCUUUAAAUAUAAUUAUUUUCCAUAUUAUAAUUCAAUCCAGGGCUCUGCAGGCACCAGCCACCAAGGGCAGCCUAUUUUAGCAAGGUCGUGCUACAGCAGGGUUGAUUUACAUCUGCUUUAUAAAUACAUCAGUGACAUCUGAUAAGUAACAGCAAUUUAACUAAUGAAGAGUACAUUGUUACCAGCACUAGAGUUUCAAAGCAUCAGAAGAACACUUCCAGUAUAAAUAAACACAUCUCAAGACUAAUGAGUGGACAGAACGAGAAACAAAGGCAUUGGAAUAGAAAAGACGCUCAGUUGUUUCUUUAAAGAGAAAAGCUAAUAUACACAGCUAUCGACAGCAUGAGAAAUAACUGAAAUGGCAUCUUUAAUAAAAGAGGCUACGCUGCACCAACAGGGGACAGUCGGACUCCACAAUUAGAUAGGCUUUUUGCCUCCAACCAGUUAUGAAAAAAAAAAUACAGAAUGCAAUAACAUAUUUUGAGAGCUACUCUCCCAUGGCCUAAUAAUAGAAGCACUCUAAAGAGUAUUUAUGAUCAUGACCUUUCACAAACCUGUACAAAUCAAGCUCAUGUUAGAUGCAUUGAGCAGGACCACCAAACCACAGCAGCACAACACCAGCAUAACACUAUAAUGUCAUCCAUCUACAUUUACUCUGAUGCUUUUCAAAGCAGAUGCUUCUAUACAUUCAGGAUUGGAUUGGAUAAUAAAGCCAACAGGAAGGGUGUUUCCUGAAUUCUCCUAAUAGUGAAACUUGAUGCUGUAGGAAUUAAAACAGCUCAGCUUAAAACAGCAGUAGGAGAGGAGAUUUAAAUCAACAGUCCUGUUUUAGUAAAUCACUAAGACUCACCAAUUUGGCUUUUCCUGGCUGAUGUCUGACCUGCCGAUUCCAGCUUUCAUUGCUUUUUUUUUUUCUAAACACCGUCACGUAUAAGAGAAAAAAAAAAUGCUGCAGAUUCCACUGGAAUGUGCCAGAAAAAAAAAUGAUCCUCAACUGAACAUAGCAUUGGUGCCUGAUCUUUAUUAGACUUUUAUUAAACUCAAAAAUUGCAACAAGUACAUGUUGGUGGUUGUGUUUAUAGUUUUAAUGUUUAGAUGUUUAAUUAAAGUAAGCAGUAAACACAAACAAACUGAAUAAAAAAUUAAAUAAAUAAAUAAAUAAAAAGUCAGGACUUUUUCAAAAUGUGACCUGGCAAUUCCAGUUAAACAAUUGGGUGAUUUUAAUUUCGCGCUGAUGGAGCAAUGAUGUUGUAAUUAAAAUGUUUGUCUUUUUUUUUUUUUUGCAUAAACAAAUCGCCACCUUAAUGUGGUAGAGGGGUUUGAGUGCUCAAAUGAUCCAGGAGGCUAUGUUGUUUGGGUCUUAAAUGCCCCUGAUAGGGUCUCCCAUGGCAACAGGCUCUGGGUGACGGGUCAGAAAAAGAGUGGUUCAGAAGCCUUUAUGAGGACUAGUAAAACGGAGCACGAGAUGAUGCCCGAUCCCCGAAUGCUUAAAGUGGCUCUAGGGACGUGGAAUGUCAACUUAUUAUGGGGGAAGGAGACCAAGCCUGAGAGACAUUAGCUAGAAAAAGUCAGGCUCACAUCCACGCACAGCUUGGGCUCUGGAAUCCAGCUCUUUUAAGAGAGUGUGGACUCUCUUCCACUCUGGAAUGGCCCGCGGUUAGAGGCGGUAGGUUAGGUUUGCCUAUGACCCCCAGCUCAGUGGUUUCAUGUUGAGGUUCACCCCGGUUGAGUCGCAUCUCUGCGCCUUCGGGUUUGGGUCUCUGUCUGCCGUUUUAGCCUAUGGGCCGAAUGUCCCUGUCAGAGGUGCUGGAUGGUUCCCCUCUCAGGUUCUCCAUCCUUCUGCUGGGGGACUUCAAAGCCCACACCAGAAACAACUUGGAGGGGUGUGAUUGGGAGGAACGGCCUCCCUGAUCUGAAUCCAAGUGGUGUUUUGUUAUUGGACUUCUGUGCCAGUCACGGAUUGUCCAUAACGAAUACCAUUUUUAAGCAGAAGCAUCAAUGCAUUUGACAACAGGACACCCUAGGCUGGAGGUCGAUGGUCAAUAACUUUAUAGUCGUGUGUUUGGACCUUCGGCCACAAGUCUUGGAUACUCGGGUGAAGAGAGGGGCUAAGCUGCUACUCUAACAGAUCAUCACUUUGUGGUGAACUGGGUCUGCUGAAAAAGAAGGAAGGUGGACAUACUUGGCAGACUCAAUUGUACAGCGAGGGUCUGCUGGGAAUGUCUGGCGGAGUCCUCGGUCAGGGACUUUCAGAUGUGGGAGGCUGGAGACAGAAUACAAGUAGAGCAUGUUCUCCACCUCUAUUUUUGCUGAAGAGGAAGUCCUAUCGGUUGGCUUUAGGACUCAUGAGAAGGCUGACUGGUACCACAGUUCGCAAUAGGAAAAUGGUGGCUUGCCCUCUUUGGGUUGGUAGGGAGUUCUUGCCUCAAGUGGAGGAGUUCACGAGUGAGGGAAGAAUGAAGCGGGAGAUUGACAGAGGGAUCAGUGCAGCCGCCGCAGUCUGAUGUGGUGAAAAGAAAGCUUAGCCGAAAGGCUAAGCUUUCGAUUCACUGGGUAAGCAUACGUUCCUACCCUCAUCGAUGGGCAUGAACUUCGGGUCAUGAAAGAAUGAGAUCUGAGAUGCUAGUGGCUGAAAUUAGCUUCCUGCGCUGGGUGGCUGGGCUCUCUCUUAGAGAUAGGGUGAGGAGCUCGGAGUAGAGCCGCUGCUCCUCCCAAUCGAGAGGAGUCAGCUGAGGUGGCCUGGGCAUCUGUCCCGGACACCCCCUGGACACCUUCCUCGGGAGGUGUUCCUGGCACGUCCCACUGGGAGAACGCCCAGAAGACGGGCCAGGAUACGCUCGAGGAACUAUGUUUCCUGACUGAACUUGGAAACGACUCGGGCUUCCACCAAAGGAGCUGGAAGAGGUGUCUGGGGAGAGGGAAGUCUGGGCGUCUCUGCUGAGAGUGGUGAACCACGUGACCCGGGCCCGGAUUAACUGAAGACAACAAAUAAGAGUACAAAAUAUUGCCUUAAUGGAGCAGUAAAGCAGCUAAACAACUAAGGUAAGGAACAAAGAUGGGUACACAUCUUUAUUCCUAGGCAAUAAACAGGGGAACAUCUAGGAAAUGUUUACGUCUAAUCGUAUAAUGGUUAAAAAGGUGUCAUCCUAUAAGGACUUGGGAAUAUGGAAUGAUUAAAAGCUUUAAUUUAAAGUAGAUAUUUCUAAUCUAAUUAGGAAGCUCAAAAUUAAAGUUGUUUUGUAUUUCAUAAAUAAAUUAUGUUUCAUAUUCUUUGCAAAGAAAAUAACAGUUUAUGUCUAUAAUUGAUACUGGUAUAAAUUCAUUAACAUUGAUAAUCAUUUUAAAUGAAAAAUCUCUCACUCAUUACUGUAUUCUGUCUCUUGUGUUUUAUUCAUUGUUUAUUAUUCCUUUGUUUUAUAUAGCUCUGAGUUGUGUGGCUGUUGUUUGGGCCAGGUCUCCCUUAUAAAAGAAAUUUCUGAUUUCAAUGGACUUCCUUAAUAAAUGAAAGGAGUGGACGAUGUUAGGCUGCUCAGUAAAAGGUUUUUUUCAGGCUACAUUGUGUGUUAACUAGAGUGGAACAGAGGAUGUUGCCAUGACUACACGAGGUGGGGUCCCCGGAUUGGAGAACAGGUCCUCUCAGCCAAUCACAACAGGCUGCUGAAUACUUUGGGAGAAAGGACCAAUACAUAACAGAGCUCCUCAUCUGUACAACUCUGCUGCUAAUAAAAUGGUUUAAUCCACUGGCAUUCAGAUAAGUUAAUUCAUUUUGAGGUUUGAACCAUUUUACAAAACUAAAAAGACAUUUUGCUCUCUUUCACAGAGAAAGUAAAAAGAAAACAUAUUAGAGAAAGAUGCAUAUUUAGCUCAAGGCCUAAAAUGGGUCAACAUUUAAAAAGCGGCC